AACGAACGCUGGCGGCGUGCCUAACACAUGCAAGUCGAACGUGAUUGGGGAGCUUGCUCCUCAUGAAAGUGGCGCACGGGUGAGUAACGCGUAGAUAAUCUACCUGAUGAUUCGGGAUAACACUUCGAAAGGGGUGCUAAUACGGGAUAAGCCCACGGAGUCUUUGGACACUGCGGGAAAAGGAGGGGACCUUCGGGCCUUCCGUCAUCAGAUGAGUCUGCGUACCAUUAGCUAGUUGGUAGGGUAAAGGCCUACCAAGGCGACGAUGGUUAGCUGGUCUGAGAGGAUGAUCAGCCAAACUGGAACUGAGACACGGUCCAGACUCCUACGGGGGGCGGCAGUGGGGAAUUUUGCGCAAUGGGGGAAACCCUGACGCAGCAACGCCGCGUGAGUGAUGAAGGCCCUUGGGUCGUAAAGCUCUGACAGAGGGAAAGAAAUGUGGGUGGCUAAUAUCCAUUCCACUUGACGGUACCCUCAAAGGAAGCACCGGCUAACUCCGUGCCAGCAGCCGCCGUAACAC
rnacentral:rRNA from 1 species